CCUACGGGUGGCAGCAGUCGAGAAUCAUUCGCAAUGGGGGAAACCCUGAUGCUGCAACGCCGCGUGAAGGAAUAAAGCUCUUCGGUUGGAAACCCCCUUUAAUGUGGGAGAAAAUUAAGAAGAUAGUCACAGAAUAAGAAGAGGCGGAUAACGCUGUGCCAGCAGCCGCGGUAAUACAGAGGUGUCAGGCGUUGUCCGUAAUUACGGGGAGUAAAGCGGGCGUCGGCUGUUGCGUAAGGCGGUUGUGAAAAGCGCGGGCUCAACCCGCGGCCGGCAAAUGAUACUGCGAUACUAGAGUAAUGGAGGGGGAACCGGAAUUCUGGGUGUAGCAGUGAAAUGCGUAGAUAUCGAGAGGAACACUCGUGGCGAAGGCGGGUUCCUGGACAUUAACUGACGCUGAGGCACGAAGGCCAGGGGAGCGAAAGGGAUUAGAUACCCUUGUAGUC
rnacentral:rRNA from 1 species